rnacentral:rRNA from 1 species
GUCCACGCCGUAAACGUUGGGCACUAGGUGUGGGUCCCUAUCGACGGGAUCCGUGCCGUAGCUAACGCAUUAAGUGCCCCGCCUGGGGAGUACGGCCGCAAGGCUAAAACUCAAAGGAAUUGACGGGGCCCGCACAAGCGGCGGAGCAUGUUGCUUAAUUCGAGGCAACGCGAAGAACCUUACCUGGGCUUGACAUGUAGGGAAAAGCCGCAGAGAUGCGGUGUCCUUAUGGGCCCUACACAGGUGGUGCAUGGCUGUCGU